AUGCAGGAAGAGCUGAAACCCCAGCCAGCUUUAUCAAGUAUGAGCUGGAGACGUGUAGUGGAGCCGCUGACCUUGAGAAAACAGCCUACAGGAGAUAGUCCCUGUGGCCUGGAGCAGAGAAGGGGAAAGGAUGAGGGAUGGAUCUGAUGGAGAAGACUUGGGACUAGACUGUUUAGGCUCAUCCCCUUCCUUCUUGCUGACUUUGAAAAAGAAAUCUUCAAUGAAUCCUGUAGUCACAAGGAAAUAAUUUUUUUCAGCAAUCAGUGUGAGUUUCCCCGGUCUAGCUUCCAGAUCAGAACACAGACCACCUGACACCUUAUUGUAGCCAAUGGAGAUGGAGCAGAGUUAGGCUCUACUUGAAUAUCUAACCCAUAGAAAUGCGAAGGAAUAAAUGUGUGUUUCUUUAAGAUGCUAA